UGUUGGAACAUGCCCAUCACUUUGGUAUCUCUACUGUCUGAGGAUGGUUGGGUCAUAUUUAUUUAUCUAGAUUUUGCCAUGCUGCUGUUGUUACAGGGACUCUCAGGCUGUCAGAAGCUGCGAGUGCAGAAUCACAGACUGGGGGGUGGGUAUAGAAGGAAACCAGAAUCUGCAUAUAGAGGUUUCUGUGCUCAUUGCAUGGGUGCCAGCCAGAGCCUAUCUUUCUGUAAAACACUGAACAUACUCGCUCUGCUUAGCGUAAUGCAAGGUCCCUCUUCUGCAUAUAAAGCUUAUUUUUGGUUCCUAUUGAUUAGGAAGCCAUUUCCUAUUUAUAGUUUCGUCUAUUGGAGGUUAAUAUAUUAAUGCAUUCCUGAGAGGUUAAUAUAUUAAUCCUCAUAUGACCACACAUACACUGCAUGAAACAAUACCUCCAUUUCAUAGGUGCUGACUCCAUCCCAGAGAGAUAUGAAGUGACUUGCUUAUUGUUACACCAUGAGUCAGUGGCAAAACCAGAAACAGCACGUCUGCUAAUGCUGCCAGUCUCACUGAGAGGAAGCUACCGCCCUAUUGUGGGUGUUGCAGGGAUUCUGGCAAGAGUAGUUUCAGCUGCUUCCUCAGGUCGUUGGACCCUGUAUGGGACAGCGCUUUCCCAAAGAUUACAUUUGAUGGUUUAUUAAUGGAGGGAAAGGUUUUCAAUCUCUCCUAUGCACUGACUUGUUUUCCUUCUGUAGCUUCAGUGCAGACUGUAAACUUAAACCAUCCUUUUUGCUCGCAGCCCAAGAAA